rnacentral:lncRNA from 1 species
GGGGGAAGCUGGUCUCCUAGACAGUUAGGUUUUCUAUGUGGUGUGUCUGGCUUCCUCUCGGGGUCUUGCAUCUCUGCCACCCCACGCACGUCCUAGGCGGGGAUACGUUUUGUCUGCUGCUGUCAAAAGAAAUUGGAUUUGCCUGAGGCUCGGGCUUCGGAAACAGAGAGGAGAGGGCACUGCCCCUCUCCUUAUCCACACCGAGGCAAGGAAGCUGGCUUUGCUUGGUCCUUCGCUCCUCGCUCCUCUAAAGGAGGACCAAGUCCUGGUCAGGUGCCCAGGGAUGAGGAUGGAGAAGGGGAGGAAGCGGCGCGUGGGGAUCAGGGCUGCUCUCUGCACUCCUGUCCCUGGCGCGCUCUUUCUAGGCUCUUUCUCCUCUGUGUGGAUCUGGAAGCAGAGGUGCUGGUGCAGCUGCCUCCACGAUUGGGGGCAGAAAAUGAUUAAAUGUUGGGGAAGGGACAAGGCAGGGUGGCAGGGGGGGCAGGGGCUUUGGAAUCAGACAGCAGCCGCUUCACGUUCUGGCCAUUCCUCUGGCCAGGAAAAUGGCUCUUAGCUGUUCCUCAUCUGUAAGACAGACGAGGUCACAGAUUUUGAAGUGUCCCGCACAGACUGUUAAUGGUUGUCACCGAAUCACUCUUUAAUCCCUCUUUUUUUUCCUUCUCCAUUUCCAGGCUGAGUUGGAAUUUGUUUUUUUUCUGUUCAUCUCAGACCCUUCAUUUUCCAACUACAGUCUUCCUGGAUUUGAGCAGAUAUCAUUGUCACUUGCAAAUUUAUCAGCUAACCUUGGGUCGUCAGGUAACCUUGAGGGGCUCCACCUGAGUGACCGCCUCCACUUCUGCACAGAAUUUUGGGUUGGCCUGGUCCAGGCAGGACUGACGUCUUGAGGAAGAGCAGCCACAGGGCUGAGAACCGAAGGUGGAGGUGGAAGACACAGGUGAGGGGGAGAAGCUCCGUCCGCCCACCGCCAGCGUCACAGCACCCGUCCCUGACAUGGCACCAAACUGUGCCUUUCUUGCUGGUCGACUGUGGGGAGGAGAGAGAGAGCUCCCAGCCUGUGAUUCCUGAUAUUUCGGGGGUCCGUCUCCUCUCACCUCCGUGCUCACAGGGCCCCCAGAAGUACUGUGCGUGUGGGCAGCGUCGCCCCCUCAGGGGAGCUAUACCCCCAGAGCACCUUUCCUUUGACCGCUCCCAUCCUGAGAGCCCUCACAUGGCCACUUGACUUCCCUUCAUGGCACGCUGGCCACUUGCGUGUGGGACCCUGUCCUGUGUUAGCAGAGAGCCCUCUGGUCCUUUCUUCCAGGCUCCUGUGCUGGGCUUGUCCCUUACUAUUGGGUGACUUUGGCUAAGUUCCUUCGUGGUCUCAUCCUUGGAGUGGGAAAAGAGUAAUAUUGACCUUAUUAUGAGGAUCAGAUGAGUUAAGACCUUCAAAGCACCUCACACAGAGCUGUCAGCUCCUCUGAUGAACUCUCUGCAUCGGGGAGCGAGAGGACCCUGCCUUGGUUGUAACAGGGCGUGAGAGACUCGGUUCAUUCCCCGCGAACAGUGGAGAGCUGAGAGCAAUGGGAUGGCUUCUGGUCCAGUCUCCCUCUUUUCUCGAAAACUUUGUGUGCAUCAGUGGACAGGAAAUUGGUGAUUCAGAUAAGGGAGAGGCUCGGCUCCCUGUUGCCUGCUGACUGUACUGCAUGUCCCUUGGUUCGGCCUUCGAGGCCUGAUGCGGGGCCUGGGCCGACUGGUCACAAUGGCCCGGGCCCCACUCAGGCAGGGCUUGUGUCCUGUGGGCCCGAGUCCGGCCCCAGGAGAGCCCUCCUCCCUGCCCUCCCCUGUGGGCCCCCGGCUCUGCAUUACCCACCAUUCCUGUGCACCUUGAAUUCCCAUGCUCCCGGCCCUGGUCUGUGCUGUUCUCUCUCCAUCUCUCCUCCUGCCGAGACCCGUUUCCUAGGUCUAGAUGAACCCUCUUCCAGCUCGUCCCCCUGCCCUGAUCAAAGCCUAACAUGAGAAAGAGGUGGAGGCCUCAGCCUGGUUUACAGCACCACCCACGGGCUUUGUGGCCCCAGCAGAUCCGUGGGCCCUGUCUUGGGGCUGUGGCCUUGGCACUUCUGCUGCCUUUGCCUGGAAGGCCCAGCUGCCCCUUUGCUCCUAAAGUCUCGAGUCAGCUCAAGUGUCGGUGCCUCCAGGAAGGCUUCCCUGGCUGCCCCUCAUCACUCAGGCUAAGUGCGUCUGAGGGACCACACCUUAUAAGUCAGGUCUCCCUACCUGUGCCCCCUCAGGUCUCCCUAGCACUUCCUGUGGGCAGUUGUUGACUCACGUGCCACCCCCAGUGACCGGGGCUUUGCUGCUUUCAUCUGUGCUUCCCAGAGCCUCCCGUUGGCUCUGCCCAAGAGCGCGCACACUGUGGAGAGCUGCGAAAGUGAGGCAUGCUUUUCUGCCUUGCUGGCUGCAAAUUUCUGCUUUCACAGAGCAGGUCUAGCAAAUUCCCCAGGUGCCAGGCCUUUGGGGAGGGUUUUGGGGGAGACCAAGCUAAUAAUCUUCUUACCUUUGGGCAAAAUGUGUGUGGUUUCACUUCCAGUUUUACUGUGGGUCUUGCCUUGUGGGCCUUGAGGGCAGUUGCAGUCAGUCCGCAGAACUAGGGAAUUGGAUGCUAGAACAUUCCUUGGAGAUUACUUUGCCUAGCUCAGUGAUUCUACCCAUCUCAGUAGCAGAGAGCUUAAGUGACCUGCCUAAGGACCCAAGGACUAAGGGACAGAGAUUGGCACAAGGACCAGCCACCCUUGGUUUCUGGCCUGGAGCACAUUUCUCAGCUCUUGAGAGGGUUCACUGAGGGGAGGGAGGGGUUGAGGCCCGUUUCGAAAUCUGUGGGACAUUCUGGUGGAGCUGAGAGCAGCCCUGCUUCAGAAGCCUCCGGGCUGCUCAGGGCACCUGAGCGGCUGCUGGGACAGGAAGUAAUACUUUCAGAGUUUUAGCCCCAAAACCUCAGAAACUUUUUGAUGACGCAUUAAAUGUCAAAGUGUAUUGUCGAG